rnacentral:rRNA from 1 species
UGCAAGUCGAACGGAAACGAUGGAAGCUUGCUUCCAGGCGUCGAGUGGCGGACGGGUGAGUAACACAUAGGAAUCUGCCUGGUAGUGGGGGACAACCUGGGGAAACUCAGGCUAAUACCGCAUACGCCCUUCGGGGGAAAGCGGGGGAUCUUCGGACCUCGCGCUAUCAGAUGAGCCUAUGUCUGAUUAGCUUGUUGGUGGGGUAACGGCCUACCAAGGCGACGAUCAGUAGCUGGUCUGAGAGGACGAUCAGCCACACUGGGACUGAGACACGGCCCAGACUCCUACGGGAGGCAGCAGUGGGGAAUAUUGGACAAUGGGCGAAAGCCUGAUCCAGCAAUGCCGCGUGUGUGAAGAAGGCCUGCGGGUUGUAAAGCACUUUCAGCAGCCACGAAAAGCCUGAGGCUAAUAUCCUCGGGUCUUGACAUUAACUGCAGAAGAAGCACCGGCUAACUCUGUGCCAGCAGCCGCGGUAAUACAGAGGGUGCAAGCGUUAAUCGGAAUUACUGGGCGUAAAGCGCGCGUAGGCGGUUUGUUUAGUCGGAUGUGAAAGCCCCGGGCUCAACCUGGGAAUUGCAUUCGAUACUGGCAGGCUAGAGCAUGGUAGAGGGAAGUGGAAUUCCGGGUGUAGCGGUGAAAUGCGUAGAUAUCCGGAGGAACACCAGUGGCGAAGGCGGCUUCCUGGACCAAUACUGACGCUGAGGUGCGAAAGCGUGGGGAGCAA